rnacentral:lncRNA from 1 species
CCCUUUAAUUACUAAUCUAUUUUUAUUAUUUUAUAAAUGCUCGAAAAAAAACUAAGAGAGUAGUUUGAUCUAUGCGAUAAAAUCUAAAUUAUCAAGAAACUCAACAUGUCUUAAAUCCAGCUUAUUUCCUCCCAUUUUUCACACUUAUUUCUCAACCUAACAUAAAAACACCUCUAUUUGGUGAAAUAUACUUGUUCCUUGUGUAAGAAAAAACUCUCCUCAAAGUUAUUCUGCACCAAAAAAACCAUCCAAGAGUGUAAAUCAUGAUCAUUUUUUGUACUUUGACGCCAAGCAAUGAAAAGCCGACAACCUUCGGACCUGGUAGAGGUGGUCGAAGUUCCGUGAACCAACCAUUGCAUUCCGUAGCUUGCUUUUCCAACUACCUGUUAUCUUCUGCCGUAUCCAAGGCGGAUCCAGCAUCAUUAGCUCUCUCAGCAGCCACAAUUCCGACAGGAUAUUAAUGACCAAUAAGAUUCCAAAAAAAA